UUGAAAGAGGGUAUAUGAUUUCACAUUUAGAUACAGAGUUUGACACUUCAGCAAUAAUACUAUCGAUAGCACUAAAUAAUUGGUGCUAUUAAAUUUUCGGUCAUUAGAUCUACCUUUUUAAUUAUUUCUAUACAUUAGAUCAUACUAUUCAGCUAACUAUCCACUCAACCUUAGAGGAUCACUAUCAUCUUAACCGCAUAUCGCUGCAUCUAAGGGCCAAAGACUAAAUAGCACCAAUUACUCGGUGCUAUUAAUAAUAUUUUAGCCUAGUUCUUUAGGUACAUAAAUAUUUGACUAAAAUAGAGAAUUUUUUCUUUUUUAUAAUCAGUCGUUUUUUCUAUUUCUCUUCCUUGAUUUUUAAAAAUCUAUAAUUUAUCUUCUCGAAAUUUCAAAUUAAUGCAUUCAGCUUCCCUCCAUCAAUACUUUAUACUGAAAAUACUUUUAAAAAUAACAAAAAUAUAUUAAAAAAAUAUUUUUUGAUAGAACCAGUAAUUAUUUUUUAAGAAGUCAAAAUGUAGGUUUUUUAAAGUGAUGAGAAAAAGUAAAAAAAAAAAUCAAAUAUUUACAGAAAAAUUUUCUGUAUCUUAACCAAAAUAUUUUAUUUAGUAUAUUCUAUUUUAAUUUAAUUACUAAAAAUAUA
rnacentral:lncRNA from 1 species